rnacentral:piRNA from 1 species
UGGACGGACCGAAUCCCUGGAUGUUCAGGAG